ACAGACACUUUGGAAGACUGUUGGGCAGUUUCUUACAAAACUGAAUAUGUAGUAGUGUGCUACAUGAGGGGCAAGUUUUUCGCUAACAUCACAAGGGUCUCUGGUCCAAUGAGUGGAGUUUGAUAGUAAUACUUGCUACAAAU
ensembl:snoRNA SNORA62 Small nucleolar RNA SNORA62/SNORA6 family